UUAUGCUUGAAUUGGAUUUUACGGAACGUCAUUCUUGAUUUGUUGUUUAUAGCUUUCGUGUUUUUCUCAACAGCCGUUGCUAAUGAAAAUUUGUGGAAAGUGCAGUAAACCACAGAAAAAUUAAAAUACGGAGCAGAACUGGCCCCGAACAUUAGUGAAGACAAGGUGAAAAACUAGGAAAACAACGCCGAGAAAAAUGUUGCGCAGCAAGAACCAUCCGAAGGCGAUGUUUCGCGGGAUUUUCAGUACGAAUUCGAUGGUACCCAGGAAGUGAUGAUGAUUAUAGACAUGCCCCAAAAGUACCGGAUGCGAUGCGAUCAUGGGAGAAAUAAACGGUUACUGUUUAGUACAUUCAUCCAGGCUACCGAUUCAUCAAAAAAUAAUCUGGUCACCCUACUGUGAACUGCUGUAAACAUAAACAGCUCAAACGCUACUCCCACUGAAUUCCGUGAAGUAAAGUCGCGAUCGCAAGACGAAAAAACCGAGCGAAUACCAUACAUCCCACCGUCGGAAACACCCAACGUGAAGCUGCCUUAUCGGAGGACAAUAGCAAGCAACCACCCUGUGACAUGGAUCGACACGAAAACCUGGAGAAACAACGCCUUGAAUACCAACGUCACUUGAAAGCCAGCCGCCUGAUGAACAUGGCAAACCUCCGAAAAACCCAAAGUGUCCAACGAACACUUGGCAAUGACCGCAACCAGUAUAGCCAGUGGUCGUCAGAUGAACAUUCGGACUGCUCCAUAUACUGAACCUAUCACCAAUGUGGUCCCCACCUGUCCCCACAACGCGCAUAGAGUGAGCAAAAUCUCGUCAGCAAAUCGACAGCUGCCCAGCAAAUCGGAACACUCUCGGAUGAUGGACAAUCGGCAGCACAUGGACAUCCACAGCUCAAGGGCGGAUUCGCAAUAGAAAGUCCCUAUUAUGGACCACCUUGGUAAAGACUCAGGGUAGCCAUUGAACCAGGAAACAGAAGGGAAAUUGAAGUCAUCGGCAAAAAAAUUUCAUGCCGGGAAAAAUAAAUUCUCGUUAAGUACCUAAUAUUCGAAAUUCUUCAACGUUUGUAAUGAAGUUCAACUUCAUAAGAAAAUGUUUUAUUCUUUAAUGCUCAUUCCUCAGGCGCAUUCAAAAUGAAUUAUUUGAUUUUAGUACAUGGUACACCCAGGUUUUUUUUUACACGGUUUGGUUUUAGUCGUUUAAGACCUUCAGCGUCAAUAAAACAAUGAAUUAACCCCACGAAAAAAUUCACAAAAAAUCAAAGAAAAUUCAGGGGGUAUUAAGAAAGCUGUAAAAAUUCAGGUUAACCGAGAAAUUAAUGAAUUCCAACCGUGUAAAAAAAAACCUGGGUGUAUUUGUGAGGUACAUAAAUUAAAUAGAUCUUCCUCAGAUCCAUUUUGAGUUCUUCUUCUUAUUGGCAUUACAUCCCCACACUGGGACAGAGCCCCCUCGCAGCUUAGUGUUCAUUGAGCACUUCCACAGUUAUUAACUGCGAGGUUUCUAUGCCAAGUUAUACCAUUUUUGCAUUCGUAUAUCAUGAGGCUAACACGAUGAUACUUUUAUGCCCAGGGAAGUCGAGAUAAUUUCCAAUCCGAGAAUUGCCUAGACCGGCACCGGGAAUCGAAACCAGCCGCCCUCAGCAUGGUCUUGCUUAGUAACCGCGCGUCUUACCGCACGGCUAAGGAGGGCCCCUUUUGAGUUAUUACUAGAUUAUUUUGAUUUCAGUUUCGAGUGACAUCAUAAAUAUUUUGUCAAAUAUCGAAAUACUCGUUGUUUUGAAUAAAUGUAUUUAACUCUAAAUUAUUUCUAUAGUGUUCAAGACUUCUAUUAUUUGAUUGUUAUUUUAAAUUGCAAUAAAAAUUAUUCUGAGACUAUACACUGUUUUAUUACUCCAUUACUAAGUUCUCUAAGUAAAAACAUCAAUUUAAUUUAUAAGAGAGAAUUGUGUCUUUCCUUCUUUCCCCACAGCUUCAUCAAAUUCUCAGGAAGGUAUCAUGAUUCCAGUUGAAAAUCGAAAUUCGAAGUCACAAAAACCGAUUUUAUUCGCGUUUAACUUAUAGCGCAUCAUUGCGCAACUGGUGCACAUUGUUCGCAACCAUAUGUGCUAUGCAGCGCACCAGAUGCGCAGUAAUGAACUUGCGACUAAUAGGAGAAAAAUUGAUUGUCGUGAGUUGAAAAAUUCGAUUUUGACCUGCACAUAUGAUAUUCUCAAAUAAGAACAGUCUGAAUAAGAUUAAACUGAGGGCUAAACAUUCAAAAUGUUCGGCUAUAUUUUAAGAUACUAUAGGUUUUUACUGCUAUCUGUAAACAUCAUGCUCUAAGAAGGAACUGGCAUGCAAUGUCCAUUGGCUCUGUCAGAAACUUACGAAAGUUUUGCAACUAAGAAUCAAACGAAUAGUAAUUAUGUGCUAAUGUGGAACUUGAAAUUAAAAAAAAAGACUGGAAUUGACCAAUAAAUCAGUGAACGAUGCAAAUUUGACGAGUGUUAUGUCUAGUGUUAUGCAUAGAACGGCUGUAUAGCUUAUAGUUGUAUAGCUAUUUAUUAGAUUGUUUGAAUUUCUUCAUGCAGAACGAGUGUGAACAUUUCAACAGCAAACUCCUCAACAUGUAGUCAGUAAAGUAAACUAAAACUGCAUUAAAAUCAAGUUUUAAUUCAACUAUAAAAAAAAUAAAUUUUAAUUAUAUCAAAUAAUCUAAAUUAAAUAAAAAAGAAACUGAAUUUUAGACUCCUGGACUAUAGGGCAAUGAAUAAUUGCCAAAUAUGCUCCUGAUCGACGCCAUUCAUCAUUGUCCCCGUGGUGCGGUGGGCCAUCACGAUGAAAACCACCAUGUCCGCGGAAUCCUCCACGGCCGCGGAACGGUCUUCCACCAUAGCCGUUCGAUGAAUUUUCCUCGUAUGAUGCACCGCCUUCCGGAUAUUCGUAGUCGGGGCCGCGACGAUAUUCACCGCCUUCCUCAAAACCUCCACUGCGCUUUGAGAUGGUGAUGUUUCCGUUCAGCAAAAUCGAUACGAAUACGACGAUCCGGUGCCCCUAACGGGAAUCCACGCAUUUCCUUCACAGCAGCCGUAGCAGCAUCAAUAGAAUCGUACAGAAUGUAGGCCUGGGUGUCCCCUUUGUUAUAUUCGAUCUUUUUGAUGGCACCAAAACGGUCGAACUCACGCUCCAACUGAGUAAUCGAAGUCCAUGCGCCAAGACCACCAACCCAAAUUCUGGUCGUCGGAGUAGCUUUACCGUAUCCUAUCUUGCACUGGAACUUGCCAAUGUACUGACCGGACAACUCAACCUUAGCUCGGUGAGCCAUGUCCAACGUUUGGUAGCAAA